rnacentral:rRNA from 1 species
AGAACGAACGCUGGCGGCAUGCCUAAUACAUGCAAGUCGAACGAACUCUUCGGAGUUAGUGGCGCACGGGUGCGUAACGCGUGGGAAUCUGCCCCUUGGUUCGGAAUAACAGUUGGAAACGACUGCUAAUACCGGAUGAUGACGAAAGUCCAAAGAUUUAUCGCCAAGGGAUGAGCCCGCGUAGGAUUAGCUAGUUGGUGAGGUAAAGGCUCACCAAGGCAACGAUCCUUAGCUGGUCUGAGAGGAUGAUCAGCCACACUGGGACUGAGACACGGCCCAGACUCCGUACGGGAGCAGCAGUAGGGAAUAUAGGACAAGUGGGACGAAAGCCUGAUCCAGCAAGUCGCCGCGUGAGU